AAUUAAAACCAAGCUCAUGGUUUGAUACGCUGAAGAAAUGCUUGGCUGAAUCUCAACGUGUUCUUAAAGCAUUGGGGAUGGAUUAUUUAGAGAAGGCUGCUGAUUAUGAUGCUUUAAAAUGCUUCAGAAAAGCUUAGGGCCUUAAAUCUGCUAUGCAUUCAUGUUCUUGGAACGAAAAAGCUAAGAAAUUGGAUAGAAGACCAAAACAAACAAUUUGAGCAGCUGAAAAAAAGGCAGAUAGAAAGAGGAGAAGGGCAAAGAAAAAAAGACAGUUUAAAGCUGAGUCUGUCAAACGGAUGGCAGUAAAGACACAGCUAAGCACAUUGAAGAAACCCGAAGAUGUUGCAGGGAACGGGGAGUCAUGAAUGACACUUUGAAAGAAAUGUUUUCUUGCCUUUGCCGUCUAAUGUGAUUCAUGAUGUUGAGCUUGUGUGUCGGGUUCUCUCCUAAGUUAGUUGCUGCAAAUUCAUCAUAGCAGGUCAACUAGUUCAUGAGGACUUGGUGCUAGAACACAUAAUAUGAUAGAUUUUUGUUUUAGCUAUAAGAUAGUUGGUACUUUCAAUUUUGAAUCGAAAUAUGCAAUGAUCAUAUGUACUUGAUACUUGGUUCAUUUGGAUGGUAAUGUAUGAAUAUUUUGGAUGAUAUAUAAUAUUGUUAUUGGUGAUUUUAUCAUUUUGUUGUUUUAAAGUUAUUUAUUUAUUUCUUGAGAUAAAUAACAUAAAAAUCGAGAAAAAAUAUUAAAUAUGCUAGUUGUAGUUGAAAUACAUAACAGUAUAAAAAGUACAAAAAAAUCGUUAUGUAUUUCUAUCAAAGAUAACGGUAAAAACCGUUAUAAAAAGUAAAAAAAACUGUUAACUAUGAUAGAAAAAAAACAAAAAAAAUACAAAACAUAACGGAAAAAUCCUCAUACAUAACGGU